GUGCAGUGAGGAAUAAUGAAGCUCAAAAAGAAGUACUGAAUUACGAACUUGCCUUGCCCUUCCUUUCCCUAUCCGCACCAGCUGGCUGCCACCUGAUGUGACCUUCCUUCUCGUCCUCUGCUGAUGUCCAGCUUCACCGUGGAGCAGCAUUGUCGACAAGAAAAGAUGGCAUCGGGCAUUUAUAAUAUGAAUGUUGCUCAUCAUUGCUUGCUGAAUGUAUGCUGGAGAGAGGAACAACUUAGAUCUGACUCUUAACCGCAGGCCUCUUAAUUUUGAUGUUGAAGAACAGCACCAAUGGGUUGUGAAGUGUAACCUGUCAGCGUUAUCUCUGCCACUGAAGUCAUCGGAGAUUUCUACUUCCUAGGAAGCCUGAAGUCAGAGAUGCUGUUAAAAGAGAGUUUGAGAAACAUGUAAGUAGGUAAGAAAUCUUACAUUGGCUUAAAAAAAAUUAACUUUUAUGUUUUUGUAUCAGCUGCAAUGAUUGUUAAUGUGUCCCCUUUUGGUUUAAAAAUCAGUGUCAACAGUUUUUUAUUGUUUUUUUUUUUUUUUUUUCUUCUACAAGUCCACCAUGUAUAACUCCUAUCCUGUCCUAAAUACAGUGCCUUAUAUCCUUGAGCCCAAAUGGGAAAAAUACGUGAUAGGUAAAAAGACUUGAGUCUCUCACUUGCCCAUUUCUUGUAAGUAAUCUACUUGUAUGCUUCUCUGUCAUACACAGGCUUUCUAAAAUCUCCAGGGCCAAAUAACCUUUUCCUGAUGUUAAAUAUUCAUAAAACUUCUGGGAACACUUUGCUAUUAAUGGGAACAUCACAAGCACAAGUGCAACUGAAAUGCCCUCUUGAAAACUAUUGCUUUCUAAGUGAUUUAGGGUUUG
rnacentral:lncRNA from 1 species